rnacentral:rRNA from 1 species
GUGGGUAGUUUGACUGGGGCGGUCUCCUCCUAAAGAGUAACGGAGGAGCACGAAGGUUGGCUAAUCCUGGUCGGACAUCAGGAGGUUAGUGCAAUGGCAUAAGCCAGCUUGACUGCGAGCGUGACGGCGCGAGCAGGUGCGAAAGCAGGUCAUAGUGAUCCGGUGGUUCUGAAUGGAAGGGCCAUCGCUCAACGGAUAAAAGGUACUCCGGGGAUAACAGGCUGAUACCGCCCAAGAGUUCAUAUCGACGGCGGUGUUUGGCACCUCGAUGUCGGCUCAUCACAUCCUGGGGCUGAAGUAGGUCCCAAGGGUAUGGCUGUUCGCCAUUUAAAGUGGUACGCGAGCUGGGUUUAGAACGUCGUGAGACAGUUCGGUCCCUAUCUGCCGUGGGCGCUGGAGAACUGAGGGGGGCUGCUCCUAGUACGAGAGGACCGGAGUGGACGCAUCACUGGUGUUCGGGUUGUCAUGC